rnacentral:rRNA from 1 species
GAUGAACGCUGGCGGCGUGCCUAACACAUGCAAGUCGAACGGAGUUUGCUUAUUUGAGACCUUCGGGUGGAUUAUUUGUAAACUUAGUGGCGGACGGGUGAGUAACGCGUGGGUAACCUGCCUCAUAGUGGGGGAUAGCAGUUGGAAACGACUGAUAAUACCGCAUAAGCGCACGGUUUUGCAUGAAAACAGUGUGAAAAGAUUUAUUGCUAUGAGAUGGACCCGCGUCAGAUUAGCUAGUUGGUAGGGUAACGGCCUACCAAGGCGACGAUCUGUAGCCGGCCUGAGAGGGCGGACGGCCACAUUGGGACUGAGACACGGCCCAAACUCCUACGGGAGGCAGCAGUGGGGGAUAUUGCACAAUGGGCGAAAGCCUGAUGCAGCGACGCCGCGUGAGUGAAGAAGUAUUUCGGUAUGUAAAGCUCUAUCAGCAGGGAAGAAAGACCUCGUAAGAGGGGAUGACGGUACCUGAGUAAGAAGCCCCGGCUAACUACGUGCCAGCAGCCGCGGUAAUACGUAGGGGGCAAGCGUUAUCCGGAUUUACUGGGUGUAAAGGGAGCGUAGACGGUGUAUCAAGUCUGAAGUGAAACCCCACGGCUCAACUGUGGGCUUGCUUUGGAAACUGGUAGACUAGAGUACUGGAGAGGUAAGCGGAAUUCCUAGUGUAGUAGUGAAAUGCGUAGAUAUUAGGAAGAACAUCAGUGGCGAAGGCGGCUUACUGGACAGCAACUGACGUUGAGGCUCGAAGGCGUGGGGAGCAAACAGGAUUAGAUACCCUGGUAGUCCACGCAGUAAACGAUGAAUACUAGGUGUUGGGAGACAAAGUCUUUCAGUGCCGUCGCUAACGCAAUAAGU